AGUGAACGCUGGUGGUAGGCCUAACACAUGCAAGUCGAACGGCAGCACAGUAAGAGCUUGCUCUUACGGGUGGCGAGUGGCGGACGGGUGAGGAAUACAUCGGAAUCUACUUUUUCGUGGGGGAUAACGUAGGGAAACUUACGCUAAUACCGCAUACGACCUACGGGUGAAAGCAGGGGAUCUUCGGACCUUGCGCGAUUGAAUGAGCCGAUGUCGGAUUAGCUAGUUGGCGGGGUAAAGGCCCACCAAGGCGACGAUCCGUAGCUGGUCUGAGAGGAUGAUCAGCCACACUGGAACUGAGACACGGUCCAGACUCCUACGGGAGGCAGCAGUGGGGAAUAUUGGACAAUGGGCGCAAGCCUGAUCCAGCCAUACCGCGUGGGUGAAGAAGGCCUUCGGGUUGUAAAGCCCUUUUGUCGGGAAAGAAAAGCAGCAGGUUAAUACCCCGCUGUUCUGACGGUACCCAAAGAAUAAGCACCGGCUAACUUCGUG
rnacentral:rRNA from 1 species